CCCGCACAAGCGGUGGAGCAUGUGGUUUAAUUCGAUGCAACGCGAAAAACCUUACCCACCUUUGACAUGGCAGGAAGGCUCCAGAGAUGGGGCUGUGCUCGCAAGAGAACCUGCACACAGGUGCUGCAUGGCUGUCGUCAGCUCGUGUCGUGAGAUGUUGGGUUAAGUCCCGCAACGAGCGCAACCCUUGUCAUCAGUUGCUACGAAAGGGCACUCUGAUGGGACUGCCGGUGACAAACCGGAGGAAGGUGGGGAUGACGUCAAGUCCUCAUGGCCCUUAUAGGUGGGCUACACACGUCAUACAAUGGCCGGUACAAAGGGCAGCCAACCCGCGAGGGGGAGCCAAUCCCACAAAGCCGGUCGUAGUCCGGAUCGCAGUCUGCAACUCGACUGCGUGAAGUCGGAAUCGCUAGUAAUCGUGGAUCAGCAUGUCACGGUGAAUACGUUCCCGGGUCUU
rnacentral:rRNA from 1 species